AAACCCUAAAAUCCAAAAGCUACUUUGACGCUUAUCUCUCUCUUCUCGAUCAACUCUCUCAACUCCAUUAAUUUAGUCCUCCGUCACCAACUCUUUUUUCUUCAACCCCCUUCAAUUGCAUCUUCUUAUCUCUCUCUUCUCGAUCAACUCUCUCAAAUCAUCUCAAUCUGAAAACCCUAGCGCCACCUAUAAGCUCCAAUUCCGGUUGUCGUCGUUAUUUAAGGUACGUUUUUCACUGUUUUUCGUUCUAACUUUUA
rnacentral:lncRNA from 1 species